GCAGCGCGACUAUCUGGUCAAGUUAUCAAUCGUGCCGAUAAAGCCACGAUUGUACACAAAGGGGUCGGGAAAUGACGUACUUCCGGUUGUGUCCGAGUCCCGCCUUCCUUAAUCUGAGGAUUCACAGACUCGAUCAUUUCGUCCGUGAUUCUCCAAGGAGUUGGAAGUACGCGUUUGUUGUUAGUGUUUCGUUUGUCACAAUUGCUGUAGGCAAAUCAAGUGUGCGUGUUAUUCGUGUGCGGUUGUAAUAAUUAGAGUGAAACAAAAGAUUGGCUUUAUAUUUCACCCGCAGCGAAUUCCGCGCACCCAAGCGCGCGCUUCAUCCCCUACGGACGAAAGAUUCCUGGCAGUCGCCAACCGGCCAGAAGCGGACGAUCCGUCACUAUAUCGGUCCGAGGAGGCCAGGGGACCUCUAAGUGGACGGAAUCCACCAGCCGGUCCGUCAAGCUACCGGCAAUCAAGUGACCCCGUCGGCAAACCGCCAUCGCGAUUCACAACACGCUUCAUUGAGAAGCAAUCGCCAAGCGUUGCCUGCCCGGGGAGCAUCGACCCCGCCCAACGGUCAUCGACUGUAGGCCCCAUCGAUACGGUGAGUCUCCCAUCUUUUUUUGUACGGAGUGCGGCGUCCAAGGAGGGCGCCGCGGAGGAAUUUGUUGUCCAGUCGUAGACUGAAGGAUGUGCCGCUAAAGCCAUCGCACUGUUUUCCUUUGUCGUGAGCUGCUACCCCGCC